UACGUAAGGACCGAGCGUUGUCCGGAAUCAUUGGGCGUAAAGGGUACGUAGGCGGUUAUCUAAGUUAGAAGUCAAAGGCUAUAGCUCAACUAUAGUAAGCUUUUAAAACUGGAUAACUUGAGAGAUGGAAGGGAAAGUGGAAUUCCUAGUGUAGCGGUGAAAUGCGCAGAUAUUAGGAGGAAUACCGGUGGCGAAGGCGACUUUCUGGCCAUUAUCUGACGCUGAGGUACGAAAGCGUGGGUAGCAAACAGGAUUAGAUACCCUGGUAGUCCAGGGCG
rnacentral:rRNA from 1 species